rnacentral:lncRNA from 1 species
CCGAAAGCCUAGAUCUUGCUUGAUUAAUGUAGCCUUUGAGAUUCUCAGCUUCUUGGCAGUGUGUCCCUAAAGAUUCUCUUUCUUCUCCAAGAUACAGAGGAGUAAACAGGUAACUGAAGUAACACAUUCUCAAGAAGUCAAGCUCCAAGGGGCUGCUGGGUGUAAAUAUAUCCUGAAGAUUAGUAUUUAUAAUGUUGAGAUUUGGGCAGCAUCUCAUCAAGCCCUCUGUGGUCUUCCUGAAGACGGAGCUCUCCUUUGCUCUCGUGAACCGGAAGCCAGUCGUCCCAGGGCGUAUCCUUUCAACCAGAGCCUCAAUCAUGAGCGCGUAUGGGCCGUUCAGCGUUCUGUGGAAAAGUGGGAGAUACUCUGCGCGUUCUGAAGGCCAGUGGACAGAAGAGUAUCCAUAUCUUGCAAAACCUUGGGUGUGAUUGUUCAAACUUGUAGUUGCUCUACUGAAAUCCAAGAUGCUACAUUUGCUUGCUGAACUGGGGCUACAGAGCAACUGAAGAGAAGAUUUCUUCAGAAACAGUACCUGACCACUUUCUUCCAAAGCUCUGUGCCAUAUAAUAUCAAAGACUUAGAAAAAGGGGAAAGGUGAAACUUGUGUGUUGACCAUAAAGUUUGUUGCUUUCAGAAAAAUAGAAGGGAAGCAUAAUAACCUCAAUGUGUGAGGAUGCACAGUCACCCGAUGUACUUCAAAAACAUUCUCUAUGUCUUCAUUUAUCAUCAUUAUAAAGUGUUUCCAAAAGAGUGAAUUUACCUUUAUCAAGUUACGAAAGGAAUUUGCCUUCAUGCAUCCUUAC